AGGAGGGGCUCAGCUUUGGCCUUGCUUCCUAAGGAGAAGAAAGGGCAGCAGGGAUGAGUUUCCAGUCGCCAAGGAUGUGGAAGAAUGCCUGUUCCAGCUGGGAUGACGAUGCCUUAGUGUCUGUGGUCCCCAAGAGCCUGGAUGCCUCAGAUCAACCGCUGCUACCUCUGGUCUCCAGAGGGAGGAUGGGGAAACUUCAGACACCUGCAGUGAGAGCCAUGGUUCCAGCCAAGGAUCCCCAGCGCCAGAUUCAGGAACAUUUGUAGGUAUCUCUAAGUUGCCC